rnacentral:tRNA from 2 species
GGGUCCAUAGCUCAGUCGGUAGAGCAGUUGCCUUUUAAGCAAACGGUCGCAGGUUCGAUUCCUGCUGGACCCACCA